rnacentral:tRNA from 1 species
GAGUGGUUAGCUUAAUUGGUAAAGCCGUCGCUUUACACGCGAUUGAGUAAAGGUUCGAAUCCUUUACCGCUUA